AAAAAAAAAAAAAAGAUCUAUCCACGUUAAAAAAUAUAAGCCACCUGGAUUAUUUAGAAUGUCUGCAUUCCAGAUUUGAUCAUCUGACACUUAAUUUAAAUAAAAACAUCCUAGCUUACAAUAUUCACAUGGAAAUGACUUCACUUGAAAUGAAUAACAAAUACAAUAAAAACAUUAAUAAUUCAAACACUAUUUAUAAAAUGCUUUUGUGUGUGUGUGUGGGGGGGGGG